CCCUUAGAUGUUCUGGGCCGCACGCGCGCUACACUGAUGCAUUCAACGAGUCUAAAACCUGCUCUGAUAGGGGUGGGUAAUCUUUUGAAUGUGCAUCGUGAUUGGGAUAGAUGAUUGCAAUUUUUCAUCUUCAACGAGGAAUGCCUAGUAAACGCAAGUCAUCAGCUUGCAUUGAUUACGUCCCUGCCCUUUGUACACACCGCCCGUCGCUCCUACCGAUUGAAUGAACCGAUGAAUAUCAUGGAUUGAGGAUUAUAGCAGGUUCGCCUGUCUUGAUCUUCGAGAAGUGAAGUAAAUCUUAUCAUUUAGAGGAAGGAGAAGUCGUAACA
rnacentral:rRNA from 1 species